AAACCAGCCAAUUAAUCUGCUUAUCUGAAUGUGUUUCUGCAGAAAUUUAGAAAAAGCUGGCAAUAGUGAUAUUUUAUGAGCCUUAAGAACAACUAAGGUCAUUAAGGUCCCUGCUACAAUAUCA
rnacentral:snoRNA from 1 species